rnacentral:rRNA from 1 species
AGCGUACACGGUGGAUGCCCUGGCAGUCAGAGGCGAUGAAGGGCGUGCUAAUCUGCGAUAAGCGCCGGUAAGGUGAUAUGAACCGUUAUAACCGGCGAUACCCGAAUGGGGAAACCCAGUGUGACUCGUCACACUAUCAUUAACUGAAUCCAUAGGUUAAUGAGGCGAACCGGGGGAACUGAAACAUCUAAGUACCCCGAGGAAAAGAAAUCAACCGAGAUUCCCCCAGUAGCGGCGAGCGAACGGGGAGGAGCCCAGAGCCUGAAUCAGCAUGUGUGUUAGUGGAAGCGUCUGGAAAGGCGCGCGAUACAGGGUGACAGCCCCGUACACAAAAGCGCAUGUGCUGUGAGCUCGAUGAGUAGGGCGGGACACGUGGUAUCCUGUCUGAAUAUGGGGGGACCAUCCUCCAAGGCUAAAUACUCCUGACUGACCGAUAGUGAACCAGUACCGUGAGGGAAAGGCGAAAAGAACCCCGGCGAGGGGAGUGAAAAAGAACCUGAAACCGUGUACGUACAAGCAGUGGGAGCACCCUUUGGGGUGUGACUGCGUACCUUUUGUAUAAUGGGUCAGCGACUUAUAUUCUGUAGCAAGGUUAACCGUAUAGGGGAGCCGGAGGGAAACCGAGUCUUAACCGGGCGUUAAGUUGCAGGGUAUAGACCCGAAACCCGGUGAUCUAGCCAUGGGCAGGUUGAAGGUUGGGUAACACUAACUGGAGGACCGAACCGACUAAUGUUGAAAAAUUAGCGGAUGACCUGUGGCUGGGGGUGAAAGGCCAAUCAAACCGGGAGAUAGCUGGUUCUCCCCGAAAGCUAUUUAGGUAGCGCCUCGUGAAUUCAUCUCCGGGGGUAGAGCACUGUUUCGGCUAGGGGGCCAUCCCGGCUUACCAACCCGAUGCAAACUGCGAAUACCGGAGAAUGUUAUCACGGGAGACACACGGCGGGUGCUAACGUCCGUCGUGAAGAGGGAAACAACCCAGACCGCCAGCUAAGGUCCCAAAGUCAUGGUUAAGUGGGAAACGAUGUGGGAAGGCCCAGACAGCCAGGAUGUUGGCUUAGAAGCAGCCAUCAUUUAAAGAAAGCGUAAUAGCUCACUGGUCGAGUCGGCCUGCGCGGAAGAUGUAACGGGGCUAAACCAUGCACCGAAGCUGCGGCAGCGACGCUGAUGCGUUGUUGGGUAGGGGAGCGUUCUGUAAGCCUGCGAAGGUGGCCUGUGAGGGUUGCUGGAGGUAUCAGAAGUGCGAAUGCUGACAUAAGUAACGAUAAAGCGGGUGAAAAGCCCGCUCGCCGGAAGACCAAGGGUUCCUGUCCAACGUUAAUCGGGGCAGGGUGAGUCGACCCCUAAGGCGAGGCCGAAAGGCGUAGUCGAUGGGAAACGGGUUAAUAUUCCCGUACUUGGUGUUACUGCGAAGGGGGGACGGAGAAGGCUAUGUUGGCCGGGCGACGGUUGUCCCGGUUUAAGCGUGUAGGUGUGUGUUCCAGGUAAAUCCGGUUCACUUUAACACUGAGGCGUGAUGACGAGGCACUACGGUGCUGAAGCAACAAAUGCCCUGCUUCCAGGAAAAGCCUCUAAGCAUCAGGUAACAUCAAAUCGUACCCCAAACCGACACAGGUGGUCAGGUAGAGAAUACCAAGGCGCUUGAGAGAACUCGGGUGAAGGAACUAGGCAAAAUGGUGCCGUAACUUCGGGAGAAGGCACGCUGACACGUAGGUGAAGUGAUUUACUCAUGGAGCUGAAGUCAGUCGAAGAUACCAGCUGGCUGCAACUGUUUAUUAAAAACACAGCACUGUGCAAACACGAAAGUGGACGUAUACGGUGUGACGCCUGCCCGGUGCCGGAAGGUUAAUUGAUGGGGUCAGCGCAAGCGAAGCUCCUGAUCGAAGCCCCGGUAAACGGCGGCCGUAACUAUAACGGUCCUAAGGUAGCGAAAUUCCUUGUCGGGUAAGUUCCGACCUGCACGAAUGGCGUAAUGAUGGCCAGGCUGUCUCCACCCGAGACUCAGUGAAAUUGAACUCGCUGUGAAGAUGCAGUGUACCCGCGGCAAGACGGAAAGACCCCGUGAACCUUUACUAUAGCUUGACACUGAACAUUGAGCCUUGAUGUGUAGGAUAGGUGGGAGGCUUUGAAGUGUGGACGCCAGUCUGCAUGGAGCCGACCUUGAAAUACCACCCUUUAAUGUUUGAUGUUCUAACGUGGACCCGUGAUCCGGGUUGCGGACAGUGUCUGGUGGGUAGUUUGACUGGGGCGGUCUCCUCCUAAAGAGUAACGGAGGAGCACGAAGGUUGGCUAAUCCUGGUCGGACAUCAGGAGGUUAGUGCAAUGGCAUAAGCCAGCUUGACUGCGAGCGUGACGGCGCGAGCAGGUGCGAAAGCAGGUCAUAGUGAUCCGGUGGUUCUGAAUGGAAGGGCCAUCGCUCAACGGAUAAAAGGUACUCCGGGGAUAACAGGCUGAUACCGCCCAAGAGUUCAUAUCGACGGCGGUGUUUGGCACCUCGAUGUCGGCUCAUCACAUCCUGGGGCUGAAGUAGGUCCCAAGGGUAUGGCUGUUCGCCAUUUAAAGUGGUACGCGAGCUGGGUUUAGAACGUCGUGAGACAGUUCGGUCCCUAUCUGCCGUGGGCGCUGGAGAACUGAGGGGGGCUGCUCCUAGUACGAGAGGACCGGAGUGGACGCAUCACUGGUGUUCGGGUUGUCAUGCCAAUGGCACUGCCCGGUAGCUAAAUGCGGAAGAGAUAAGUGCUGAAAGCAUCUAAGCACGAAACUUGCCCCGAGAUGAGUUCU